GGGUGGAUUCAAAGAUUUUCUGAUUGCCAAUUGGUUGAAACAGUUAAGUUAUUAUCUAAAGACCUGGGAUCAAUAGAAAGAAGUGUCUGGGUUAGGGUCAGGGGUGUGGAUCUCUAUUUUAAUGUUAAUGCUGGUCAGUUGUGUGCCUGCACUCCAAAGGAAAGAGAGUAUGAGGCAUGUCUGUCUCUCACUUUUCCAGCACGGUCUGAACUAGUUUUUCAGGUUUAGUUGGGUCCUCUGGGCUGAGAGGGGGUCCAUUCAGUAAGUUGAGGGACUUCAAAUUUUAUUUUUGGUUUACAGGGUCUCAGCCACGAACCUAG
rnacentral:lncRNA from 1 species